AUCCUAGCCUCCACCACGGCUGGGGUGGCUCUGCACCCUUACUGGCCAAUGAGACAUUGGCGGGGAUUCUGGGAAGCCUUUUGCUUUUCCUGACAAGAGGCACAGAUGGAUUUGAACUAGGGAGUUCUGGGUUAUUGGAAAAGGAAACAGAAGAGCUGAAGUGGGAAGGUGGAAAAGUUAAUGACAUGAUGACCCAGACUGUACCCAGGACUUGAGCUACCACAAUUCCGAGAAUUGACGGCAAAGAAAUGGGAACAAAUGCGCCCCGGAACUGAAGAUUAACUGUACCUAAAACAACCAAGAUGAUGCUAGUCAGACUACUGAUGAUAAUUGGAAGAUGAGUGUACUGUUUCUGCAUGUAACUCCCCACACACACACUUUGUCUAUAAAAACUCUCACCCCCUGCUUGUCAGGAG
ensembl:lncRNA